GACGAACGCUGGCGGCGUGCUUAACACAUGCAAGUCGAACGGAAAGGCCCUGCUUUUGUGGGGUGCUCGAGUGGCGAACGGGUGAGUAACACGUGAGUAACCUGCCCUUGACUUUGGGAUAACUUCAGGAAACUGGGGCUAAUACCGGAUAGGAGCUCCUGCUGCAUGGUGGGGGUUGGAAAGUUUCGGCGGUUGGGGAUGGACUCGCGGCUUAUCAGCUUGUUGGUGGGGUAGUGGCUUACCAAGGCUUUGACGGGUAGCCGGCCUGAGAGGGUGACCGGCCACAUUGGGACUGAGAUACGGCCCAGACUCCUACGGGAGGCAGCAGUGGGGAUUAUUGCACAAUGGGCGGAGGCCUGAUGCAGCAACGCCGCGUGCGGGAUGACGGCCUUCGGGUUGUAAACCGCUUUCGCCUGUGACGAAGCGUGAGUGACGGUAAUGGGUAAAGAAGCACCGGCUAACUACGUG
rnacentral:rRNA from 1 species